GGCCCGCUGGCCAAAUGGUAAGGCGUCUGAUUUCGGUUACAAGAAAUCAAUAACUCAGAAGAUUGUGCGUUCGAGCCGCACGUGGGUCG